GAGGAUGUGGCUCAGUGGGUAGGGUGCUUGCCUAGCAAGCAUGAAGCCCUUGGUUCCAUCCUCA
rnacentral:tRNA from 1 species